AAGUCGAACGGCAGCAUGAUCUAGCUUGCCAGAUUGAUGGCGAGUGGCGAACGGGUGAGUAAUACAUCGGAACGUGCCCUGUAGUGGGGGAUAACUAGUCGAAAGAUUAGCUAAUACCGCAUACGACCUGAGGGUGAAAGUGGGGGACCGCAAGGCCUCAUGCUAUAGGAGCGGCCGAUGUCUGAUUAGCUAGUUGGUGGGGUAAAGGCCCACCAAGGCGACGAUCAGUAGCUGGUCUGAGAGGACGAUCAGCCACACUGGGACUGAGACACGGCCCAGACUCCUACGGGAGGCAGCAGUGGGGAAUUUUGGACAAUGGGCGAAAGCCUGAUCCAGCAAUGCCGCGUGUGUGAAGAAGGCCUUCGGGUUGUAAAGCACUUUUGUCCGGAAAGAAAUGGCUCUGGUUAAUACCUGGGGUCGAUGACGGUACCGGAAGAAUAAGGACCGGCUAACUACGUGCCAGCAGCCGCGGUAAUACGUAGGGUCCAAGCGUUAAUCGGAAUUACUGGGCGUAAAGCGUGCGCAGGCGGUUGUGCAAGACCGAUGUGAAAUCCCCGAGCUUAACUUGGGAAUUGCAUUGGUGACUGCACGGCUAGAGUGUGUCAGAGGGGGGUAGAAUUCCACGUGUAGCAGUGAAAUGCGUAGAGAUGUGGAGGAAUACCGAUGGCGAAGGCAGCCCCCUGGGAUAACACUGACGCUCAUGCACGAAAGCGUGGGGAGCAAACAGGAUUAGAUACCCUGGUAGUCCACGCCCUAAACGAUGUCAACUAGUUGUUGGGGAUUCAUUUCCUUAGUAACGUAGCUAACGCGUGAAGUUGACCGCCUGGGGAGUACGGUCGCAAGAUUAAAACUCAAAGGAAUUGACGGGGACCCGCACAAGCGGUGGAUGAUGUGGAUUAAUUCGAUGCAACGCGAAAAACCUUACCUACCCUUGACAUGCCACUAACGAAGCAGAGAUGCAUUAGGUGCUCGAAAGAGAAAGUGGACACAGGUGCUGCAUGGCUGUCGUCAGCUCGUGUCGUGAGAUGUUGGGUUAAGUCCCGCAACGAGCGCAACCCUUGUCUCUAGUUGCUACGAAAGGGCACUCUAGAGAGACUGCCGGUGACAAACCGGAGGAAGGUGGGGAUGACGUCAAGUCCUCAUGGCCCUUAUGGGUAGGGCUUCACACGUCAUACAAUGGUGCAUACAGAGGGUUGCCAAGCCGCGAGGUGGAGCUAAUCCCAGAAAAUGCAUCGUAGUCCGGAUCGUAGUCUGCAACUCGACUACGUGAAGCUGGAAUCGCUAGUAAUCGCGGAUCAGCAUGCCGCGGUGAUACGUUCCCGGGUCUUGUACACACCGCCCGUCACACCAUGGGAGUGGGCUUUACCAGAAGUAGUUAGCCUAACCGC
rnacentral:rRNA from 1 species